rnacentral:tRNA from 1 species
GGGGGAGUGGCGGAAUUGGCAGACGCGUUGGACUUAGGAUCCAAUGGGUUUCACGCCCGUGCGGGUUCAAGUCCCGCCUCCCCCA